rfam:Danio rerio chromosome 2 genomic contig CTG124, GRCz11 reference primary assembly.
GCCGGCAGCUAGCUCUCUGCAACUCUCACAUGGUCGCCCACUGAAGCUAAGCAGGGCUGUGCCUGGUCAGUACCUGGAUGGGAGACCACAUGGGAAAGCUAGGCUGCUGCCGGAA